GUGUAAGAUUUUACGUGAAGUUUUAUUUAUUUUAAUAAUAUGUAAAUUUAUUUAUUAUUUUCAGUAAUUAAUUUUAUUAAUCAAUGUAAGUUGUAGAUAGUAAUUUUAUUAAGUAUAGACUAAAUUUGUGCCAGCAGUCGCGGUUAUACAAAUUAUACAAGUAAAUAUUUUUUAGUGUUGAGUUAAACGGAGUUAUUUUAUAAUAGGUUUGAAUUUAUUAGGUGAAAUUUUAAAUUUAUUUAUUUAUAAUUUUAUAAUGUUGAGGCUUAUAAAUUUUUAUGAAAAACUAGGAUUAGAUACCCUAUUAUUUAAAAUGUAAAUUUUUGACUAAGGUAGUAGUAGCUAUGUUCUUGAAACUUAAAAAAUUUGGCGGUAUUUUAGUCUAUUCAGAGGAACCUGUUCUGUAAUCGAUAAUCCACGCUGUACCUUACUUAAACUUGUAAUUAGUUUAUAUACCGUCGUUAUUAGAAUAUUUUAUAAGAAUAAUAAUUUUCAAGUAGUUGUUUUAGACUUUAUAUCAGAUCAAGGUGUAGCUUAUGUUUAAGUAGAAAUGGGUUACAAUAAAUUUAUUUAUAUGAAUUUAAUUUUGCAAUAAUUAAUGAAGGUGGAUUUGAUAGUAAAAUUUUAAAGAUUAUUAAUUUGAUUUUGGCUCUAAAAUAUGCACACAUCGCCCGUCGCUCUUAUUAUUAAGGUAAGAUAAGUCGUAACAUAGUAGGUGUA
rnacentral:rRNA from 1 species